rnacentral:rRNA from 1 species
CUACGGGUUGCUCCAGGCGAGAAAACUUUGCAAUGUGCGAAAGCACGACAAGGUUAAUCCGAGUGGUUUGUGCUAAACGAACCUUUUGACAGUCCUAGAAACACUGUUGAAUAAGGGGUGGGCAAGUUCUGGCGUCAGCCGCCGCGGUAAAACCAGCACCUCAAGUGGUCAGGAUGAUUAUUGGGCCUAAAGCAUCCGUAGCCGGCUCUGUAAGUUUUCGGUUAAAUCUGUACGCUCAACGUACAGGCUGCCGGGAAUACUGCAGAGCUAGGGAGUGGGAGAGGUAGACGGUACUCGGUAGGAAGGGGUAAAAUCCUUUGAUCUAUUGAUGACCACCUGUGGCGAAGGCGGUCUACCAGAACACGUCCGACGGUGAGGGAUGAAGGCUGGGGGAGCAAACCGGAUUAGAUACCCUCGUAGUC